UGUUAGGUGGAUGACUUGGCUUGAGUGUCGAUGAAGAGCGUGGCAAGCUGCGAUAAGCCCCGGGAAGCCGCAUGCAGGCAUUGAUCCGGGGAUCCUUGAAUAGGACUUCCAAAGCCUAGAGCUUACUCACUUAUGUGAGGGAGAACGCGGGGAAUCGAAACAUCCUAUUACCCGCAGGAAAAGAAAUCAAUUGAGAUGCCGUUAGUAGAGGCGAUCAAAAGCGGUAAAGGGCAAACCGAACGAUGACUGGCAACUGUCAUUGGAUGUGGUGUUCGGACCCCCAUUAAACACUCAUUGAUGAACCUUAAGUCCACUGGAACGUGGCGCCAAAGAGAGUGACAGCCUCGUAAGGAUAAGUCAUUGAGUGUGAGGGGUGUUCCAGAGUAACAGGCAUUGAAAAUUGUCUGUGAAUAUGGGAGACAAGUACUUCCAACCCUAAACACAACUCAAGACCGAUAGAGAAUAGUACCGUGAGGGAAAGUUGAAAAGAAUCCUGAGUACGGAAGUUAAAAGAUCCUGAAACCUGAUAGUGACGGUUGUUGCGGCCUAAAAGAGCUGAUUCAAUAAGUGACCUAGAGCAAUUUAGUGAACGAGGAGUUAGUAGUCGAGGUUGCAACGUAGAUUUGGGAUAAUCCGCCAGGGAGUUUACGUCAGUGGCGAGACCAACCGCUUUAAACGGUAAGUCAAAGCGAAAGCAACAGCCCGCAAUUUAUGAGGGGCGAGGUGUUAAUAGCGCCUAGAGUCACUGGUGUAAGACCCGAAGCCGACCGAUCUAGCCGUGGGCAAGGUGAAGUCUCUCGUAAGGGGGAUGGAGGCCUGAAGGGGUUCUGUGUGCAAGCGUUCCUCAGACCUGUGGCUAGGAGUGAUAAACUAAUCGUGGCCGGCGAUAGCUGGUUCCUCUCGAAGUAGGCUACAGUCUAGCCUGCCUGGAGAUUGUGUAAACUGUAGAGCUACCAAUUGGGUAUUUAGGGUUCGAAAGGGCUCGGUAUCCUGUUGAACUCCGAAGGUUUAUACAUCAUAGAAGGGUGGAGUCGGGGGUGCGGGGUAAGCUCGUGCUCCGAAAGGGGAACAACCCCACCCUGGGUUAAGGUCCUUAAAUCCUGAUUAAGUGAGGAAGAAUAUCUGCAUUCAGAAACAAUGGGGAGGUAGGUCUAGAAGCCGCCAUCCUAUAAUAAGUGCGUAACAGCUUACCCAUCUAGAAUGUAGGUUUCCAAAAUGGACGGGACUAAAUCAGGUACCGAUACCCAGGACCCUCACGCAAGUGAGUGAUGUGGUAGAGAGGCGUCCUAUGCGCUUAGAAGCACGGUUGUGAAGUCGUGUGGAGCGCUUUGGAUCGAGAAUCCUGGCAAGAGUAGCAUCUGAGAAGGGUGAGAAUCCCUUUCGUCGUAAGGGCAAGGGUUCCUCAGCUCUGCUUCGUCAACUGAGGGUUAGUCGUGAUCUAAGGCAUACCUUAAUCGGGAAUGCCGAAAGAGAAACGGGUUUAUAUUCCCGUACCAUGCUUGUACGAGCGGUGACGCAAGGCGCUUGGUCGUGACGCUUGUGGGUAGGCUUGACAACGCUGUCGCGUUGUUUAAAUAGGAUAUGUCUGGGGAGAGACGUAACGUUGAGAACCAGAUUAAACUAUGAAUAGACGGCUUUAGUCGUUCAAGCUGACCCCUUGAGCCCGUGAAAAGCGAGAGCGCAAGAAUCAUGCAUGCGCGUACCCAGAACCGGCACCGGUGCCCCUGGCUUAGAAGGCCAAGACGUGUUGGGAUAAUCGUGGUUAGUGAAAUCGGCAAAUUGGCCCCGUAACUUUGGAAGAAGGGGUCUCAGCGGUCGUGAGCCUGAGCUCGCGAUUGCUGGGUGCAAUAACUAGGGGGGUCCGACUGUUUAAUAAAAACAUAACUGGCUGCAACACCGAAAGGUUUAGUAUAGCCGGUGACACCUGCCCAGUGCGAGUAUCUGAAUCCCGGGUUAAACCGGUCCAAGGACUCGUAAACGGCGGGCCUAACCUUGAGGCUCUUAAGGUAGCGUGAUGCCUUGUCAUUUAAAUGAUGACGUGUCCGAGUGGUGUAACGAGACCCCCGCUGUACCAACCACGAACCCUGUGAAGAUAUCGUUGCGGUGUAGAGACCGCAGACCUCCAGUGGGUUGAUAAGACCCUAGGGACUUUACUGCAACCUGCCCUUGCUUUGCCUGUUGUGUUGUGUAGUGUAGUCAGGAGACGUAGAAACGAUGACGUCAGUUGUCGUGGAGUCGACCAGUGAAACACUGACCUUCAUAAUGGGCAUCGCUAACCUGAAAGGGGACAGGGGUUGGCGGGCAGUUUAACUGGGGCGGUAUGCCGGCGAAAAGGUAUCACCGGCGACCAAAGGUCAGCUUAACCGGGUCAGGACUCCGGUGUUAAGUUCAAGAGCAAAAGCUGGCCUGAAUGGAAUCGGCACAGCGAUGAUUCCAAAGGCGAAAGCCUGGUCUAGCGAACCGCUAUAGCCUAUAUUUGAGGCUUAGCUACGACAGAGAAGCCAUCCUAGGGAUAAUGGAGCUGUCUCGCCAGAGCGUACACAGCGACGGCGAGGCUUGCUACAUCGAUGUCGGCUCUUCCUAUCCUGGCUGUGCACAAGCAGCCAAGGGUGCGGGUGUCCACCGAUUAAAAGGGAUCGUGAGCUGGGUUUAGUGCGGGGUGACUCAGCACGGUUUAUAACUACUGGAGGUGUGCAGUGACUGAGUGGAAGGUCCUCUGAGUACGAAAGGAACAGAGGGUCGGCGCCUCUGGUCUAUCGGUUGUCCGACCGGGCAGGCCGAGCAGCUACGCGCCAUGGGAUAACCGCUGAAAGCAUCUAAGCGGGAAGCCCUCCGUGAAAAGAGUCACUGAUUAGGGUGGUCAUAGAAGAUGACGUUGAUAGGAACGGGGUGUAAGUACCAAGGCAACGAGGUAUUCAGCCCGCGUUUACUAAUAACCC
rnacentral:rRNA from 1 species